GACGAACGCUGGCGGCGUGCUUAACACAUGCAAGUCGAACGAUGAACCUCCUUCGGGAGGGGAUUAGUGGCGAACGGGUGAGUAACACGUGGGCAAUCUGCCCUGCACUCUGGGACAAGCCCUGGAAACGGGGUCUAAUACCGGAUACUGACCCGCUUGGGCAUCCAAGCGGUUCGAAAGCUCCGGCGGUGCAGGAUGAGCCCGCGGCCUACCAGCUUGUUGGUGAGGUAAUGGCUCACCAAGGCGACGACGGGUAGCCGGCCCGAGAGGGCGACCGGCCACACUGGGACUGAGACACGGCCCAGACUCCUACGGGAGGCAGCAGUGGGGAAUAUUGCACAAUGGGCGAAAGCCUGAUGCAGCGACGCCGCGUGAGGGAUGACGGCCUCGGUUGUAACCUCUUCAGCAGGAAGAAGCGAAAGUGACGGUACCUGCAGAAGAAGCGCCGGCUAACUACGUGCCAGCAGCCGCGGUAAUACGUAGGGCGCGAGCGUUGUCCGGAAUUAUUGGGCGUAAAGAGCUCGUAGGCGGCUUGUCACGUCGGUUGUGAAAGCCCGGGGCUUAACCCCGGGUCUGCAGUCGAUACGGGCAGGCUAGAGUU
rnacentral:rRNA from 1 species